ensembl:miRNA gga-mir-1588 gga-mir-1588
GCUCCCAUGGCCCCGCAGUGCCCUCAGGAACCAGCUUUCGGCUCUCGUGGUGCUUGCCUGGAGCUGUGCUGUUGGUUCCUUUGGCCCUGGGUCCCUCCCCGC